CGGCAGCAACUGGGAAUCGUGCGCAAUGGACGAAAGUCUGACGCCGCGACGUCGCGUGAAGGAUGAAGGCGUUUUCGUCGUAAACUUCUUUUGCCAUAUCUGUGAGGAUAUGGAGAAUAAGCACCUGCUAACUCUGUGCCAGCAGCCGCGGUAAUACAGAGGGUGCAAGCGUUAUCCGGAUUUAUUGGGCGUAAAGCGUUUCGUAGGCGGUUUAUCGCAUCUCCUGUUAAAUCUCGGAGCUCAACUUCGGGACCGCGGGAGAGAUGGAUAGACUAGAGAUCGGGAUAGGCAAGUGGAAUUGCUGGUGUAGGGGUUAAAUCCGUUAAUAUCAGCAGGAACACCAAAUGCGAAGGCAACUUGCUAGAACGAUUCUGACGCUGAGGUGCGAAAGCGUGGGGAGCGAAUGGGAUUAGAUACCCUGGUAGUC
rnacentral:rRNA from 1 species